rnacentral:lncRNA from 1 species
UCACACACACUCUACGCAGGGAAGCCAAUGAAUAUUACUGCGUGUUCCGAAAAAGAAAAAAAAGAAAGAAAAGGGAAUGCACCUUCUAAGUUUGGUGACCCUUACCCGGUCACUUAACCCAACGGAUGUAGAACCUUAAAAAAAUUGAAAAUAAGACUCGUUGUCAGUUGGUUCAGCGGUUUCUGGUGCUGAACUUGGUAGGGCGGAUUACGGUCCGAU